ensembl:lncRNA
GUGACAAAGAAAAUAACUGUCAACUUAACUAGUCGACGUGUAUUAGUAUUACUAAACCUGAAAUGUCUAAACACUGUAUUUUUGUAUAUUUUUUUGCAGUAGAGAUUGUUGACCGGGAAGUGACAGUUUCAGAGGUAAUCGUGCAUCUUAUUCCUGCAGUUUAUCGUGGAUAUGUUUUCAGCUAUGGGACGCAGAACAAAGUUGUGUGUUUGUUCGCGCUCGCCUGUGUGCCUGGAUUUGUGCGAGGUUAGGAUUAACCUCGGCUCAUGCUGAUUGGAAUGACGUCCAACACUGGCUCACUCACAGGCUGGAAGCCGCGUGUGUGUUUCGGGUCAGACAGAAAGAAGGAGGACACGCCAGGCGGAGCGGAGCAGGGCCUGCUGUUAGCCCAGG